rnacentral:tRNA from 1 species
GCUCCCGUAGCCCAACUGGCAGAGGCGUCAGGUCGAGAGCUUGAUUAGUACCAGUUCAAAUCUGGUCGGGAGUA